GGAAACUUUUGCUCAACACAGUGGGAUUAUACCUUCACAGAGACUGAAGAUUAGAGUUCUUGGCCAGGGUGUUUGAAAGUCAGUCAACAGUCUAACAAAUUAGCAACAGACCUAUUUUCUCUCCCUAGCAACCAACUUUAUAAACAAUGGCUGGCAGCUCUCUCACACACCACUCAGGCAAGAGCCUUUAUGACAUAUACAAUCAGAACUUUGAAAGAAAACAGAAUUAAAAUCAGCCCCUAUGUAGUGAGUUUAUUUUUAUUGCGCACUAUCUAUUGGCCCAGUAGAAAGCAGUGCAGAUCUCUGAGCACAGGUGCCAUAUGUUGACAGGGUCAGUGAUGUGAAAAUAGGUGGCCUGACCACAAAACUGGCAAGAACCAGUUAAAGAGGAACUUAAUGGCUAAAUGUUGAAGAGGAAAACAACUUGAGUUAAGCAACACAAUCAGAGGUGCCGUUAGGUCAUUUCAGACCCUGGACUUCAUAGAUUUAUGGAGGAUGGCAUCUCUAAAUGAGAAGAGAAGAUACAACCUGGGUGCCACCAUGGAGAAGCCCCUCCCUCAAGUUGUCGGACGAUAGCUCUCAGCAGGCUGUGCUCUAUACAGGAGGCCCUCAUCUGGAGAUCUCAACAAACAGUCAGGAAUGUCAGUCCAAAUGCUUAUGCAGUGUUGAGAGAUGGGCAAAUGAAGAACAGAGGUGAGCUUGGCCCAAGGUCUAGUAUUUAGCUAGUAUUGGUAUUUAGAUGUAUGCUGUCCAGAUGAUAAUAAAGUUUUGGGAUACCAUUAAGACUCCACCUUUCA